AUUGAACGCUGGCGGCAGGCCUAACACAUGCAAGUCGAGCGGAUGAAGGGUGCUUGCUCCUGGAUUCAGCGGCGGACGGGUGAGUAAUGCCUAGGAAUCUGCCUGGUAGUGGGGGAUAACGUCCGGAAACGGGCGCUAAUACCGCAUACGUCCUGAGGGAGAAAGUGGGGGAUCCUCGGACCUCACGCUAUCAGAUGAGCCUAGGUCUGAUUAGCUAGUUGGUGGGGUAAAGGCCUACCAAGGCGACGAUCCGUAACUGGUCUGAGAGGAUGAUCAGUCACACUGGAACUGAGACACGGUCCAGACUCCUACGGGAGGCAGCAGUGGGGAAUAUUGGACAAUGGGCGAAAGCCUGAUCCAGCCAUGCCGCGUGUGUGAAGAAGGUCUUCGGAUUGUAAAGCACUUUAAGUUGGGAGGAAGGGCAGUAAGUUAAUACCUUGCUGUUUUGACGUUACCAACAGAAUAAGCACCGGCUAACUUCGUG
rnacentral:rRNA from 1 species